CUAAAAGAGUGGAUCAUGACCCAUGAAGAGCACCAUGCAGCCAAAACUCUGGGGAUCUGCAAAGCCAUUGCUGUGUUAACCUCUGGUGGAGAUGCCCAAGGAAUGAAUGCUGCUGUCAGGGCUGUGGUUCGAGUUGGUAUCUUUACUGGUGCCCAUGUCUUCUUUGUCCAUGAGGGUUAUCAAGGCCUGGUGGAUGGGGAAGAUCACAUCAGGGAAGCCACCUGGGAGAGCGUUUCCAUGAUGCUUCAGCUGGGAGGCACGGUGAUUGGAAGUGCCCAGUGCAAGGACUUUCGGGAACGAGAAGGACGACUCCGAGCUGCAUAUAACCUGGUGAAGCGUGGGAUCACCAAUCUGUGUGUCAUCGGGGGGUGAUGGCAGCCUCACCGGGGCUGACACCUUCCGUUCAGAGUGGAGUGACUUGUUGAGUGACCUCCAGAAAGCAGGUAAGAUCACAGAUGAGGAGGCUAAGAAAUCCAGCUACCUGAACAUCGUGGGCUUGGUUGGCUCAAUUGACAAUGACUUCUGCGGCACUGAUAUGACCAUUGGUACUGAUUCUGCUCUGCACCGGAUCAUAGAAAUUGUAGAUGCCAUCACCACCACUGCCCAGAGCCACCAGAGGACAUUUGUGUUAGAAGUGAUGGGCCACCACUGUGGAUACCUAGCCCCUGUUACCUCUCUCUCCUGUGGGGCCAACUGGGUUUUUAUUCCUGAAUGUCCACCAGAUGAUGACUGGGAGGAACACCUUUGUCACCGACUCAGUGAGACAAGGACCCGAGGUUCUCGUCUGAACAUCAUCAUUGUGGCUGAGGGUGCAAUUGACAAGAAUGGCAAGCCAAUCACCUCAGAAGACAUCAAAAAUCUGGUGGUAAAGCGUCUGGGAUAUGACACCUGGGUCACCGUCUUGGGGCAUGUACAGUGGGGAGGGACACCAUCAGCCUUUGACUGAAUCCUGGGCAGCAGGAUGGGCGUGGAAGCAGUGAUGGCACUUUUGGAGGGGACCCCAGAUACUCCAGCCUGUGUAGUGAGCCUGUCUGGUAACCAAGCCGUGCACCUGCCCCUCAUGGAGUGUGUCCAGGUGACCAAAGACGUGACCAAGGCCAUGGAGGACAAGAAAUUUGAUGAAGCCAUGAAGCUGAGAGGCCGGAGCUUCAUGAACAACUGGGAGGUGUAUAAGUUCUAGCCCAUGUCAGACCCCCAGUAUCUAAGAGCGCUUUGCACACAGUGGCCGUGAUGAAUGUGGGGGCCCCAGCUGCAGGCAUGAAUGCUGCUGUUCGCUCCACUGUGAGGAUCGGCCUCGUCCAGGGCAACCAAGUGCUGGUUGUACAUGAUGGCUUCGAGGGCCUGGCCAAGGGUCAGAUUGAGGAAGCUGGCUGGAGCUAUGUUGGGGGCUGGACUGGUCAAGGAGGUUCUAAACUUGGGACUAAAAGAACUCUACCCAAGAAGCACUUGGAACAGAUCAGUGCCAACAUAACGAAGUUUAACAUCCAGGGCCUUGUCAUCAUUGGGGGCUUUGAAGCUUACACGGGGGGCCUGGAGCUGAUGGAGGGCAGGAAGCAGUUUGAUGAGCUCUGCAUCCCAUUUGUGGUCAUUCCUGCUACUGUCUCCAACAACGUCCCUGGCUCAGACUUCAGCAUUGGGGCCGACACAGCACUCAAUACCAUCUGCACGACCUGUGACCGCAUCAAGCAGUCAGCAGCAGGCACCAAGCAUCGGGUGUUUAUCAUUGAGACUAUGGGUGGCUACUGUGGCUACCUGGCCACCGUGGCAGGACUGGCAGCUGGGGCUGAUGCCGCCUACAUUUUUGAGGAGCCCUUCACCAUUCGAGACCUGCAGGCAAAUGUUGAACAUCUGGUGCAAAAGAUGAAAACAACUGUGAAAAGGGACUUGGUGUUAAGGAAUGAAAAGUGCAAUGAGAACUACACCACUGACUUCAUCUUCAACCUGUACUCGGAGGAAGGGAAGGGCAUCUUCGACAGCAGGAAGAAUGUGCUCAGUCACAUGCAGCAGGGUGGGAGUCCAACUCCAUUUGACAGGAAUUUUGCCACUAAGAUGGGUGCCAAAGCUAUGAACUGGAUGUCUGGGAAAAUCAAAGAGAGUUACCGCAAUGGGCGGAUCUUCGCCAAUACUCCAGACUCAGGCUGUGUUCUGGGGAAGCGUAAGAGGACCCUGCUCUUCCAACCAGUGACUGAGCUGAAGGACCAGACUGAUUUUGAGCAUCGAAUCCCCAAGGAACAAUGGUGGCUGAAGCUGAGGCCCAUCCUUAAAAUCCUGGCCAAGUACGAGAUUGACUUGGAUACCUCCGACCAUGCCCACCUGGAGCACAUCACUCGGAAGCGGUCUGAGGAAGCUGCCGUCUAAGCCUCCCGGGAGUGAGGGGAACAGAUUAUCUGAUCAUGGUCAGCUCACCCCCCCUCAGUAGAUCUAAGUCCACAUUUUCUCAGUGUUUUAUCUCCCUUUCCAAUAGUUUUCCUUUUAUUUUGCACCAUGAUCAGCUCUGGCCAGGAACCGGAGGCAAGGGUGGUAAAUGUGAGCUCCAUUAGGUAGAAUUUAUCUUGACUUCUACCCCAGUUUCAUCUGUCACACAAGGCUGGGCUCUUCUAAUGCUCCUGCUAGAUGUCAUUUACUAAGUUAGAAUGUUCCUAAAACAUAAGCUUUAUUUAUUUCUUUGUGGUAACAAAGAGCCUUGGUUCCUCUACUACUUUUCCCACAGUGACAAAUUGUAACUACACUAAUAAAUGCCAACUGGUCA